UUGAGCUUUUCAGAAUUUAUUUAUUUUUCCUAUGAUUGUUUCUAUUGUUUUUCUGUAGGAUUGAAAAGUGAGAACCUAGAAAAUAGGCUCCCCUCGCUAUCCAGUACAGAUACUUCUUACUCUGCAUUGGACGUUGGGGAGCUACAUUG